AUGUUGGCUAUCGAAGGUCUAACACAAUCCUCCUCCUUUAUCCGUGUUUGGGACCAGCUAUGUACAGCAGGUGUAGCAUAGGGAGAGUUAGGCCUUAUCAAAG